rnacentral:rRNA from 1 species
GCUAGGAAUUUUGCACAAUGGGGGAAACCCUGAUGCAGCAACGCCGCGUGAGUGAUGAAGGCCUUCGGGUUGUAAAGCUCUUUUAGCUGGGAAAAAACAAAUGAUGGUACCAGCAGAAACAGCACCGGCUAACUCCGUGCCAGCAGCCGCGGUAAUACGGAGGGUGCAGGCGUUACUCGGAAUUACUGGGCGUAAAGGGCGCGUAGGCGGUUUUGUAAGUCUGAUGUGAAAGCCCUGGGCUUAACCCAGGAAGUGCAUUGGAUACUGCAAGACUAGAGUACAGGAGAGGAUGGCGGAAUUCCCGGUGUAGAGGUGAAAUUCGUAGAUAUCGGGAGGAACAACGGAGGCGAAAGCGGCCAUCUGGACUGUAACUGACGCUGAGGCGCGAAAGCGUGGGGAGCAAACAGGAUUAGAAACCCGGGUAGUCC